rnacentral:rRNA from 1 species
UACGUAGGGGGCAAGCGUUGUCCGGAUUUAUUGGGCGUAAAAGGCUUGUAGGUGGCCACGCCAAGUCGGAUGUGAAAUCUCCCGGCUCAACUGGGAGGGGUCAUUCGAUACUGGCGGGCUCGAGGCCGGUAGGGGGAAGCGGAAUUCCCGGUGUAGCGGUGAAAUGCGUAGAUAUUGGGAGGAACACCAGUGGCGAAGGCGGCUACCUGGACCGGUUCUGACGCUGAGGCGCGAAAGCGUGGGUAGCAAACAGG